rnacentral:rRNA from 1 species
AAAUAAGAAAUUCUGCCUGCCCAGUGACAUUUCUGUUUAACGGCCGCGGUACCCUGACCGUGCAAAGGUAGCAUAAUCACUUGCCCUAUAAUUGAGGGCUUGUAUGAAAGGCAAGACGAGGGCAUAACUGUCUCCAAGGUAAAACAAAAAUUAUGCUCUAAGUGAAGACACUUAGAUAAAAAUACUGGACAAGAAGACCCUAUAGAGCUUAACUCUAAAAGAGCUAAAGUUAUAUAAUACUUAUAUCAACACCCUCUUUUUAAAGUUUGGUUGGGGCGACCAAGGAACACUUAGCUUCCUUUAUUCUUAUGGAAUCCAACCCUUUAAUAUUGAUCCAACAACUUUGACCAACGAUCAAAGCUACCUUAGGGAUAACAGCGUAAUCUUCUUUGAGAGUUCUCAUCUACAAGAAGGCUUGCGACCUCGAUGUUGGACUAGGAUAUCCUAAAGGUGCAGCAGCUUUUAAGGGUGGGUCUGUUCGACCCUUAAUAAU